rnacentral:rRNA from 1 species
CCUACGGGAGGCAGCAGUGGGGAAUAUUGGGCAAUGGGCGCAAGUCUGACCCAGCAACGCCGCGUGAAGGAUGAAGGCUUUCGGAUUGUAAAGUUCUGUGCUGAGGGAUGAAGCAAGUGACGGUACCUGAGUAGUAAGCCACGGCUAACUACGUGCCAGCAGCCGCGGUAAUACGUAGGUGGCAAGCGUUAUCCGGAUUUACUGGGUGUAAAGGGUGUGUAGGCGGGUAAGUAAGUCAGCUGUGAAAUCCAGGGGCUCAACCUGGGGGCUGCAGUUGAAACUAUUUGUCUUGAGUACAGGAGGGGUAGAUGGAAUUCCUAGUGUAGCGGUGGAAUGCGUAGAUAUUAGGAGGAACACCAGUGGCGAAGGCGAUCUGCUGGACAGUAACUGACGCUGAGGCGCGAAAGCGUGGGGAGCAAACAGGAUUAGAUACCCUUGUAGUC